UAACCUGCUAACUAGUUGCGAGUACGCGAGUAUUUGAGACUUCUUAGAGGGACUGACUACGUUUAGUAGUCGGAAGUUUGAGGCAAUAACAGGUCUGUGAUGCCCUUAGAUGUUCUGGGCUGCACGCGCGCUACACUGACAAAGCCAGCGAGUGUUACCUUGGCCGAGAGGUCUGGGAAAUCUUGUGAAACUUUGUCGUGCUGGGGAUAGAUCAUUGCAAUUAUUGGUCUUGAACGAGGAAUUCCUAGUAAGCGCAAGUCAUCAGCUUGCGUUGAUUACGUCCCUGCCCUUUGUACACACCGCCCGUCGCU
rnacentral:rRNA from 1 species